ACCUGGGUGGCUCAGUGGUUGAGCGCCUGGCUUCUGCCCAGGGUGUGAUCCUGGGGUCCUGGGAUCGAGUCCCAUGUCGGGCU
rnacentral:tRNA from 1 species